ensembl:lncRNA
GGGGGCGGCAGGUAGCCUAGUGGUUAGAGUGGGGGGUGGCAGGUAGCCUAGUGGUUAGAGUGGGGGGUGGCAGGUAGCCUAGUGGUUAGAGUGGGGAGGCGGCAGGUAGCCUAGUGGUUAGAGUGGAGGGGCGGCAGGUAGCCUAGUGGUUAGAGUGGGGGGCGGCAGGUAGCCUAGUGGUUAGAGUGGGGGGGCGGCAGGUAGCCUAGUGGUUAGAGUGGAGGGGCGGCAGGUAGCCUAGUGGUUAGAGUGGAGGGGCGGCAGGUAGCCUAGUGGUUAGAGUGGAGGGGCGGCAGGUAGCCUAGUGGUUAGAGUGGAGGGGCGGCAGGUAGCCUAGUGGUUAGAGUGGGGGAGGCGGCAGGUAGCCUAGUGGUUAGAGUGGAGGGGCGGCAGGUAGCCUAGUGGUUAGAGUGGGGGAGGCGGCAGGUAGCCUAGUGGUUAGAGGAGAGGGGCGGCAGGUAGCCUAGUGGUUAGAGUGGGGAGGCGGCAGGUAGCCUAGUGGUUAGAGUGGAGGGGCGGCAGGUAGCCUAGUGGUUAGAGUGGGGG